UACGUAGGGGCCGAGCGUUGUCCGGAGUUACUGGGCGUAAAGCGCGCGCAGGCGGUCGUCUAAGCCUACCGUGAAAGCCCCCGGCUCAACCGGGGAGGGUCGGUGGGGACUGGGCGACUUGAGGACGGCAGGGGCUGGUGGAAUCCCCGGUGUAGUGGUGAAAUGCGUAGAGAUCGGGGGGAACACCCGUGGCGAAGGCGGCCAGCUGGGCCGAUCCUGACGCUGAGGCGCGAAGGCGUGGGGAGCGAACGGG
rnacentral:rRNA from 1 species